GAAAUGAGUUAAUUAUUAUUUUUUUUUUUGCUACAUCAACAUCUUGGGUUUGAUUGGUUUCCAAUGUUACAAAUGAAACCUUCUUUCUUUUUGUGAACCUAAAAAUUAGGACACAUUAAUCUGUACAGAAACAUCCUACGGUUGUACAAUACAAUUAGGUAAGGCUCGGGUGGCUCCUCCUCUAAGAGACCAUAUCUUGGUCUCAUCCCCAGGAGCACAAAUGGUGAACCCACCAUUCUGUGGUCAACUUAAAUCAAAGAGAUGAUGGAAAAAAAAAA
rnacentral:misc_RNA from 1 species